rnacentral:rRNA from 1 species
CCAAUAGCGUAUAUUAAAGUUGCUGCAGUUAAAAAGCUCGUAGUUGAAUUUCGGGACCAUCAUGUCGGUCGUGCCUCGGUACGUACUGGUAUUGUUGGUUUCUCCCUUCUGACAAACCAUGAUGUCAUUUAUUUGGUGUUGUGGGGAAUCAGGACUGUUACUUUGAAAAAAUUAGAGUGUUUAAAGCAGGCUCACGCUUGAAUACAUUAGCAUGGAAUAAUGAAAUAGGACGUUUGAUUCUAUUUUGUUGGUUUCUAGGAUCGACGUAAUGAUUAAUAGGGAUAGUUGGGGGCAUUAGUAUUCAAUUGUCAGAGGUGAAAUUCUUGGAUUUAUUGAAGACUAACUACUGCGAAAGCAUUUGCCAAGGAUGUUUUCAUUAAUCAAGAACGAAAGUUAGGGGAUCGAAGACGAUCAGAUACCGUCGUAGUCUUAACCAUAAACUAUGCCGACUAGGGAUCGGAUGAUGUUAAUUUUUUAAUGACUCAUUCGGCGCCUUACG